UACAGAGGCCCCUAGCGGUAUUCGGAGUCACUGGGCUUAAAGGGUGCGUAGGAGGACCUGCAAGUGCUUUGUGAAAUCCCCCGGCUCAACCGGGGAAUGGCUUGGCAUACUGCGGGUCUUGAGGUCGGUAGAGGCCGCUGGAACUCUAGGUGUAGCGGUGAAAUGCGUAGAGAUCUAGAGGAACGCCCAAGGUGAAGACAGGCGGCUGGGCCGAUGCUGACGCUGAGGCACGAAAGAGUGGGGAGCGAACGGG
rnacentral:rRNA from 1 species